AGGCAGCCCCUCUGCAUUUUUCAAUGGCAAAGGUGGCGUUAAACUGCUCGUAGAUCGAAUCGCUUUUGCUCUUCAGACUUGCUGAGAUUUCCUUUGAAGCUGGUCUAGUAAGCAUCAGUACAUA